CAGCAGCCACGGGAACACCAGCACCUCGAGUGGUCAGGAGGUUUAUUGGGCCUAAAGCAUCCGUAGCCGGUUGCAUAAGUUUUCGGUUAAAUCUAUGCGCUUAACGUAUAGGCCGCCGAAAAUACUGUGCAGCUAGGGAGUGGGAGAGGUACACGGUACUCGAUAGGAAGGGGUAAAAUCCUUUGAUCUAUUGAUGACCACCUGUGGCGAAGGCGGUGUACCAGAACACGUUCGACGGUAAGGGAUGAAAGCUGGGGGAGCAAACCGGAUUAGAUACCCGUGUAGUCCCUGUCUCUUAUAC
rnacentral:rRNA from 1 species